ACAAGCUUCAAACAACUGGAGACAAAGGGACGAGGAAAACGUGGUUUUUCUUCGUUGGGAAAUGAGACUAAAUCAUACUGCACAUGUCAGAGAGGGGUUCUGUGUGCUCAUCCAAGUAGCUGCAGUCCAAAGAGAAUUCAUCUCUCCUGAAGAGUACACAGACAGUACACAGCAUUUGAGAUGAGAAUUCAGAAUUAUUCAAUAUUCAGAAUCAAGAAACAUCUGUGAAAAUUACUGUGGUGCUGCAGUUUGGGUGCUGGACAGAAGAGGGUGCCCUUCAGAUAGCCUGAGAGAAAAAAGACCUUGGCUGUGGACACUGAAAACAGCCGGAGGUCGUCAAACUCGCGGUUCAGCGAGGCUGUGGAAGCCCAUGCAGCCUGCACUGUGUGGCCUGGAGAAGGGCUUGCUUGCACACUCCGAGCUGCUUGGACACUUUAAUAAAGACUGCAUGGACAGCAGGAGUAGUGUUUUGAUGUAGCUGGAAAUCCCCAGUACAGCAUGCUGGGAGUGAGCGAUGCUGUUAUUGUUUCUGCUGCAUUCAGAAGGUGGCUAUAAGCUGAUACAUUUAAUGUUGGCUAUGUGCACCAGAGUCUCUGUGCUGUUCAAAUCAAUGCUUUAGAAGAUGGUCACUUAAUCAAGACUGUAUCUCAUAAACCACCUGAGGAAACAAAUCCUGUGCUUGCCUGGCUGCAUGGAAAUAUGAUUUUUGACUCAUACUGCUGGAGUUCCUGAUGCGUAUACUCCUACAGGGGGUAAGUUUGUUGGCUGCAUUGAACAAGCAAAAAUGCUUCCACAUUGUAAAACACUCCCAUAACAUUGAUUCAAGUUUAAUCGAUUACAUGAGGUAGUUCAGAGAACAGUUACAGCUGUGCAAAGCAUUAGUCAUUGUUAGAAUUUGACUUGGUGUGAUAACCAGGCAAUAAACUCAGCUGUCAAUCUCUGUAGGAAUGAGCCAUUGCGAGAACUUAAAUAUCUGCUCUGAACAUUUCUAUCAAAUAAAUCAUAUCUCCUGAGUGGAUACUUCCACUGUUUUGACAAGGAAGAAAGACAAUGUUUUCUUUGGUUAGUUCUAGAAAGGCUAAAUAGAGUUGUAAUGAUUGCAAGCCAACUCUGUCUAUACACAGGAUUAAUGCAAGUGUUCAGGGUGCAAAGAUGUUUUUAAAUCUUGAUUUACAGUGUGUUUUUCAAAUUAACAGAGCACUCACAGCCCUCAAAUGAUACUCAAUGGGUCAUAUUUGUUUCUCAAACAUAUACCAUAUAUUUGAAACUGAAUCUAAUGCUUUUAAAUGAAGUAAUGAUUAGUGUUUUUAAUAAACAGCCUGAAGUCCAGUGUUAGCUGAUGAAUUGUGAAACAACAAGAACAUUUACAGGACAUACUACAGUAUAUCAGCUUAGCAGAAUUGAAAUUUCACUUUUUCAAAUGCUGCUUCAGAUAGAAUUGUCUUUUCAGGGCAACUUGCGUUCUCCAGUGGAAUUGAACCAGGGUGCAGAAUAAGCUGCUAUAAUUAUGCAAGCCCCAUCACUAAGAUAAUUACAAGUAUUUUAGUCAUCCCUAAUUCUUAUAUCACAAUAAGAAAACUUCGGUCCAAACUAUGUUUCAUCCAUAAAACUGUUUAAAGCAUGAAAUCUAAAGUGUGUCCGAACAAAUGAAGCACAGCUUCAUCUUGAAUUGGUGAGAACCAUAGUUACAGGUGACCAGAGUUUAUAAUGUAAUGCUACUUUAUUUUUGCUGAAUGAUGUAAAAAUACCUGGAGACAGUGUUUUGUAGCCACAUUUACACAAAUACAUGACAUCAACUCUGAGAAGACCACUAUGGGCUCUUUAAGAACAGUUACAGAAGCCAAGAGAAAAGUACUUCACCCUUGGAGAAGAAAUACUGGCAUGCACAGGUGUAAUAGGAAGAGCGACACCCUGUCUUUUGGCCAUAAACUCAGCUUCUGCUGGAUCACGUUCCUUUGCCUGUUACUGUACAGUCAACACUGAAAAGACUCAGAGAAGUGUGAAGUAGUGUGAUUUUCUUUGUAUGUGUCAUAGAAAACAAAUCAGGAGAUGAAAAUGUAAUGUUUGACUGCUUGUUUUGGUCAUUUUUUUCUUUCCUAAAUACCCUGAAUACUGUCUUCUACUAUGGAAGCAGUUGAACAAAUUGAUAACCCAGCCUAAUUGAAAGCUGUAGUAAAGUGAAUAAAAGAUGGAGUCUG